AGCAAAUACAAGAAACCUCUACAGCCACCAUAUUGUCACCAUGGGGAAAUCUGUAGCGACUCUGCAACUUUUGAUGGGUUGCUGCAAGACCAGUUCUGAGGCAGAUGGUCGCACUGACACUACAGAUGAUAGACCUAAGUUACCUGCACCGCUAAAUCACCAGUCACCAGUUAUGGAUCUGAUUGAAUCCAGCUCAUCUUAUGAUAAGGAGAAUCGAAGUCAUCCACCUGCCUCUGAGACUGAUCUAGGAUAUGAGAUGAAGAAAUAUGGUUAUAAACAACUAGCAGAGGUAACUGGUGGUUUCUCCGACGACUACCAGCUCGGCGAGGGUGGUUUUGGUAUAGUCUAUAAGGCAACCUUAGAUGGUGAAGACGUUGCUAUCAAGAAACUUAAAAGACAGCUGGAAAAUAAGUUGGCGGAGAUU
rnacentral:misc_RNA from 1 species